rnacentral:rRNA from 1 species
UACGUAGGGUGCAAGCGUUGUCCGGAAUUAUUGGGCGUAAAGAGCUCGUAGGCGGUCUGUCGCGUCGAAUGUGAAAACCCGGGGCUCAACCCCGGGCCUGCUUUCGAUACGGGCAGACUGGAGGUAUGCAGGGGAGAACGGAAGUUCCUGGUGUAGCGGUGAAAUGCGCAGAUAUCAGGAGGAACACCGGUGGCGAAGGCGGUUCUCUGGGCAUGUCCUGACGCUGAGGAGCGAAAGUGUGGGGAGCGAACAGG